rnacentral:rRNA from 1 species
GACGAACGCUGGCGGCGUGCCUAAUACAUGCAAGUUGAGCGCUGAAGGUUGGUACUUGUACCAACUGGAUGAGCAGCGAACGGGUGAGUAACGCGUGGGGAAUCUGCCUUUGAGCGGGGGACAACAUUUGGAAACGAAUGCUAAUACCGCAUAAAAACUUUAAACACAAGUUUUAAGUUUGAAAGAUGCAAUUGCAUCACUCAAAGAUGAUCCCGCGUUGUAUUAGCUAGUUGGUGAGGUAAAGGCUCACCAAGGCGAUGAUACAUAGCCGACCUGAGAGGGUGAUCGGCCACAUUGGGACCGAGACACGGCCCAAACUCCUACGGGAGGCGGCAGUAGGGAAUCUUCGGCAAUGGACGAAAGUCUGACCGAGCAACGCCGCGUGAGUGAAGAAGGUUUUCGGAUCGUAAAACUCUGUUGGUAGAGAAGAACGUUGGUGAGAGUGGAAAGCUCAUCAAGUGACGGUAACUACCCAGAAAGGGACGGCUAACUACGUG